rnacentral:lncRNA from 1 species
GAGGCUAGGGUUUGUUAAAUACGAGCAUAAAAGCUGUGGCUUGAGGAGAAGAAAAAGGUAUUUCCGUUCCUGAACUUGUGACUGAUGCGCGUGAACUGGAUUGGAACUGCCUCUGAGUCGUGUGAUAGGCUGUGUAGAUUGGGUGAGGAUGAGGAUGAAUGAAAGAAGACGGUUUGUGAUUGAGACGCUUGAACUUGGACCGUUCUUUGGACUUAUGGACAAAAGGAUAAUAAUAAUAAUAAAAAGUAAACAUUGAAAAGGAAAAAAAGAAAAGAAGGAGAUAAAUACUAAAACGAAGUGAU